CCCUUAGAUGUCCUGGGCCGCACGCGCGCUACACUGAGUGUCUGAGAUACGAGUCUGCCUGGUCCGGCAAGGUCUAGGUAAUCGCUAAAAGACACAUCAUGCUUGGGAUAGAUUAUUGCAAAUAUUAAUCUUGAACGAGGAAUUCCUAGUAAGCGCAAGUCAACAGCUUGCGUUGAUUACGUCCCUGCCCUUUGUACACACCGCCCGUCGCUACUACUGGUUGGAUGUUUAAGCGAGGUUCUCGAACUGCUAGCGACUUAGCUUCGGUGAGGUCGCAGUGUGGGAAGUGAACCUAGCUUUGGUGUCUAGAGGAAGUAAAAGUCGUAACA
rnacentral:rRNA from 1 species